AGAGGAGGAGGAGGAAAAGGAGGAAGCUGCAGCCAUAGACAAGGCGGAGGAGGAGGCGGGCCCGGCCCAUGAAAAUGACAAGGAGGAGUCGCCAGCCAGCGACCGGGCUGAGCAGGAAGACAAGCCUGCCCCCAAGGUGGACGGGACGGACGAUGAAAGCUUGUGGAGCAUUGUGAGUCUGUGUGGCAGCAACCACGAAGAAAGUGAUACAGACUUGGUGGCGGAGAGCACCGACUGCCGCCAGGAUGAGGAGGCUGCAGCAACCCCCGACGAUGUUGUGGAGGCCGGUGGGAGUGAGAAGACCAAGGAGGAGGCCCUGGCUGGGGAAACUGAGGAGGAGAUGGGGCUGGGGACUGUGAAGGCAGAGGAGGAGGAGGAAAAGGAGGAAGCUGCAGCCAUAGACAAGGCGGAGGAGGAGGCGGGCCCGGCCCAUGAAAAUGACAAGGAGGAGUCGCCAGCCAGCGACCGGGCUGAGCAGGAAGACAAGCCUGCCCCCAAGGUAAGCUCACCUUUCUUGAUGUGAGAUUUGAAAAGUUGCCUUUUUUCUUUUUUGAUAUCCCUAUCUCAGAAAUGGAAAUCUG
rnacentral:lncRNA from 1 species